ensembl:lncRNA
UGAAACUCCUCGCAAUUGAGCUCCAAGGCCAUCCAAGGCUUCUCAAAUAGCUCUCUUUUGUCAGCAAACUGGCCUUCUGAGCAGGCAGCUCAACUCCAAGGAUGGGUAAAGUGUGCGCUCCAGGUCUAGCACUGUGUAAGUAGAUACAGCCUUAGACCGGAGUAAUAUCUGUGCUCUGAGAGGCUACUACACCUCGACUGCUCUGAACAGAUUUGCUGAGGGUACAUAUUGUGCUAUCAUUUACGUUGAUAAAAAUAGUGAAUAUUAGUACUAGCAACACACUGUUUCUUGCCAGCUGGCAACCUGACAUUGAGCCAUUGAUUACGACUGGGUCCUCAGAGCUCUAAUAGCUCUUAAUGACCCUGAGCAGCUUCACCUGGGAUCUCUACCCAUGCCUUCUGACCAUGGCUCUAUUUAGAUUUAAGCUUGGGCAUUCGCUCCUAGUCUGAAUUAUGUCACAGAUAUGUGUAUCUGUGUGUGAUUCUCUCUGGUCUUGUGAUCCUGGGGGACCUUGGGCCAAUGUUUUUGGUGGCUUGUUCCUGGUGCUGCCUCUUGGAAGGCUAUUAGACUUAUAUCACAGUAUUUUUUCCAAUCUAUGUGUGGCUUUAUCUUCUGCUGCUCCUUCACAGGCUGCUAGGUGUGAAGAUUUCCCACAAGGAGCAUUUCUGAGACUGUCUAUAGCAGUGAUUGAGAGGUCCAGAGGAAUAAAAGAGCCCUGCAAGUAUAGAAUAAAUGAUGAGAUACUCGAACCUGCUUUCAUGAAAGAGAGAUUCAUAUUCUUGAAGGUGUAGUACUUUGAAAUACAGUAGAAGCAGCCUCUGAAAUUCCACUCUGUCUUCUGGCUCCACUUGACACCAAAAGCCUUUCAUCAGCUUGGCUGUGACAUAGCAAACCCCAAAGACUUUCCUUCUCUAUGCUCUCUGAGCACACUCAUGGCUUGGUGAAACAGUUCAUUCAGGAUGUGAAAGAAGGAACAGAAGAAAGUUGACAACAAGCCAUACUCACUCUUCUUUCAAAGUGUCCUGUGUGGAGAACAGGAUACCACAGAAUUUUUCUGCUUUUGGCUGAAGUUUUCCACUUUUCCUGGCAAAUUUCCAGUAGUAGCAGUAGAUUUGUUCAGUUGAAUUUUAUGUUUGCUAAGAAUUUAAAGCUGGACUCAGAUAAGCAAUUAAGAUUCACUUUUUGAGAGAAUGAUGAGAAUUUUCUAUUAAGGAACAGAUCUGCACCACGUUUAUGAACAUCCAAAAACUGCUGAAAAUACAAGAAUUAGAAGAGUAAUUCCGUGGCAGACCAGACUGUGGUCAAAGCCUUUCAAUGAGGCAACUCAUUUGAGAGCAUCACUGACAAAAGAAAGGACUUUUAGGCAGAUUUUAACUACGUAUUGAGUAAUGUGUGGGCCCUAAACAUGUGUGAUUAAUUUCUUGCUUGCUUGCUCUUUUUUUCAUUAUUUUCUUCCUUAACUCUUCACCUGUCUACAUAUCCUGCUUUCAUAUUUUAGAACUGGAAUGUGCACCUCAUGAAUAAAGCUCUGGUUUACAAAGUCUGUAUGCCUGUU